UCCGGUUUAACACCGGCAGUCUCCUUAGAGUCCCCGGCAUGACCCGCUGGCAACUAAGGACAAGGGUUUCGCUCGUUAAGCGACUUAACGCGACAUCUCACGACACGAGCUGACGACAGCCAUGCAGCACCUGUGCAAAGGCUCCCCGAAGGGCACCCCGGGCUUUCACCCAGGUUCCUAAGCAUGUCAAGACUAGGAUAAGGUUCUUCGCGUAGCGGCAUUAGCCA
rnacentral:misc_RNA from 1 species